rnacentral:rRNA from 3 species
GUUCCACGCGUACCCAUCCCGAACACGACCGUUAAGCCCUCCAGCGCCGAUGGUACUUGGACCGAAGGGUCCUGGGAGAGUAGGACGUUGCCAAGC